CUAUUCAACACACUACUAUAAGCGCGGUAGCACACCAAUGAGAUAGUGGUUUCAAGAUGAAGAUCCCGGCUUGUUUAUUUAUCGCAUCCUUGUUGCUGUUCAUUGCAUUCGUUCAAGAUACCGAGGCAGCAUUUGGACCAUUUCAUCCAGGGAGAAGGGAACUAGGGAGAAAGUUUGAAAUAACAGCCAGGAGCCUUUGUGAGGCAGCCAGAAGCUUGGAUUGUGAGGGAAUGAAACUGAAAGACUGACCCGAGAAGAAACAUAAGUGACUACAUUUCUCAGGAACUCGAAUACAAACAUCACUGAGUCAAUUAUGUGCUAAAAUAACUGUCUGCCAGAAAAUGUAGAGUAAAACAUUGUCUAAAUUUUCUGGAAUAGCAGAACAUUAAUAAACCAUGGACAUUCAGCAUCGAA